rnacentral:rRNA from 1 species
UACGUAGGGGGCAAGCGUUGUCCGGAAUCAUUGGGCGUAAAGGGCGCGUAGGCGGCUUCAUAAGUCUUGGGUGAAAGCCCUCGGCUCAACCGAGGAAUUGCCUUGGAUACUGUGAAGCUCGAGGCUGGAAGAGGGCAGUGGAAUUCCCGGUGUAGCGGUGAAAUGCGUAGAUAUCGAGAGGAACACCUGCGGCGAAGGCGGGUUGCUGGGCUGACACUGACGCUGAAGCGCGAAAGCUAGGGGAGCGAACGGG